AUUCGUAUGAAAUGGACAUAUAAGAAAAUUUGCACCCCUUAGCUCCGCCGCCACCGUGCGUCAACUUUUUUCUACCAAAACUAAUAAAAUGUUGUUGCAUUUUGUUUCUUCACCUCGCCCUUACAAGCUGACUUGCCCGCACCCAGUAGGUCGUGGAAGUGGAGGUAAAUGGAGUAAAGCAAAGAAGUGGAGUGCGCAUAAAGAAGUGCAGGUAUUUGGAGAACAGCGGGUGCGUAGGAAUGUGCGUUAACAUGUGCAAAAUACCCACACAAGACUUCUUCACCGACGAAUUUGGGCUUCCAUUAACUAUGACCCCAAUCCUGCUGCGCGCUGUUGGAAAAUGCAGAUUUCGAAGAUAUGAGCUGUGAGAUGGUGUACGGGCAGGCUCCACCGCCAUUUGAAGAUGACCCGGCAUCCAAACAACCUUGUUUUGCAGAUAUUUGCUCUUUGGCAAAUCCCAAUUCGAGCGUCUGUCCCAAGCUGCAAACCUAACAGAAACAGCUCCUAUUUCAUUUCUUCGGGAAGUGUUGGGGGCCGUGACUAUGGCGCGACAUUCAAAAGUAACAGAAAAAGAUCAAACUCGCAGGAAUUGUUUGUUUGAACUAAUGGGACUGCUCUAUCUUUGACUAGCGAACUCGUAGUCGUAGCAUUCCGCGUAAUUAAUGCAUAUAAGUUCGCCAAUCACACUACUGUAAUAUGCUGGUUUCUGGUGUUGAGACUUUUUUUAACUCACUUUGAUGACCUUGUCGUCAUUUCCUUUUGACAACA